UCCCCUUCACCCCCGGUACCAACCGAACCCAACCCUAAUUCCUAAAACAGAUUUCCACUAGAUCGAUUGAUGAUACCUUGCUGUUUGUUGCUGACGAAACUGAAGAAACCGUGUCUAUCCCGGGCCAGUUGCCACUCAAACCAACAUUGUCCCACUUACCAUUUUACUAGUUGACACACCAUGGUUUGAUCGAUCGUCAGUUGGUGUAAGUGCUCAGGGGCAGGAUUCUCGAGACUAACUGAGUGUCACACCCAAUGGUCCAACUAAUUUUAUAGCUCAGAAUUAGCGCUCAGUUGUGACAUAUAAGUAUUACGAUACAGCAUCAGAGAAAUGCUUAUAUCAGUUUAGUUUAUUGCUUGAAUUUGCUGCUCACUUUUCUUAUCCUGUUUCAACUAGAUUGAUUAAUGAUAGCUUGGCGAUGAUUUAGUUUAUUUUUACCUGUUAAUCUGAUUUAGUCUAUUUUUACCUGUUAAUCUGAUUUAGUUUAGGACUAAAUGCUUUGCUGUUUUUGUAGUAUUAGUCAGAUUUAGUAACUGUUUUUUAAUCUUUUCAUGUUGAUAUGUAAGCCGAUCUAAAUGGGUUGUCAUACAUCCUUAUAAUUCUCUGUCAUAGAUAAUCAUUAGUACGGAUCCAACUAUUGAUAUCUGCAAGUAUCUAUAUUUCAUACAUCCAAAAAUUGACUACUUAAGCUGGACUUCUGGAGUAACUGUUGUUCACAAGCCCCUGGCCGGUCGGCUGAUCAGCCUCCCGCACUGGCUGCACCGAUCAGCCUCCCACACCGGUGGAGGAACCUCCUACUGGUUCUAGAUUAUUUACGCUUGUAAAUAAAUAUUGUAGUUCAGUUUGUCGCAGCUAUGAUUGAAGUUCAAUAGAAACAGUUCUGCUUGCCUACGACUAUAGUUAUAGUCACUUGUUGGGCUGAUUUCAAGCAGACUGCUUAGUGUUGACCGUGUCAUGCUAUUGUUAUUGACCUGCUGCUUGUGUCUUAAAUAAAUAUCUACGAAGGUAGACACGAUCUUUGCUGCUUGUGUCUUAAAUAAAUAAAUAAAAUUCUGUAAUGAUGAUCUGAAAUGUCACACAGGUGAACAUUGGUGUUGCUGCCGCCGCUGUGCCAGUUGGAGGUGCUGCUGCUGCAUGUGGUGGAGCUGCAGCUGCCGCCCCAAAGGGCAAACCUUCAUCAGACACAACCUCAUAACAGGGCCUCAAGGUUCUGUUCCCCAUCGCCCCUCUUUCUAAAUUACUGGAAUGAAAAUGGCCAGGCCUGAUGUGCCUCCUGUAUCUAUUGCUCGAUUUGUUAUGAUUUGAUUCACCAAGAGUGAUUCUUCUACUAUCUUGUAGUAAGAUUAAAUGGAACAACGAGGGAUGCUUCUAAGUUGGUUAUUGCUAGAAUAAUUCAUCAACUUGAGAUAUGCUGGGAUGUUCUUCCUUUCCUUACUGAAGAAGAUAAGAAUGGAAUUUAAUUGGAUGGUCCCUUUCAUUGUGCUUAAUUAGCUGUAAAUAUGCCCCCUUACUGAAGAAGAUAAGAAUCCAUAUGUGUUAUGCAAAAUUAACUUUGUCAUCUUGUAAGUGCUCUAGGCAGUGUCGAGAGGGUGAAAAAUAUGAGAACAAAAAAGAAUUACUUGAUUAAUUUACAACAUCCAUCCUUUACUCCGUCCGUGUCAUCGUUGUUUACCCCUGGGAGUAUUUUUAACUUGAAAAUCUCUAGUGAACUGCCAUUUGCAGUACAUUUGCUUUCCUUGUUAAUUUUUUGGGUUACUCCAUCUUGCUCUAUUAAGUAAAAUUUGAUAUGUGGAGUAGCAGCAGUAAGCUAGACCAUCCGUCAAUAGACUACACCACGGAGGUCACCCUCAUAUGGAUAAUGAAUCAUUAUCCCGUUCUUGUAUACCUGAGAUGUUCCUAAUGAAUAAUUUACUAGACAAACAAUCUUGUUUGCCGUAAGAAUUCUGGCAUGCCAAAAUCUGCUGUCUAUGUAUGAUUCGGUUAAUAUGGACCUGAAUGGCAAGGGCUAGCCAACCUACUUAACUAGAUUAACAUAACAGGAACAGUACACAACCGGCUAGCUCGUGUUUGCAUUGGCUGCCACAUCGGCUAGCUAGAUGCGACUGCUUAAGGGCUAGUCAACAAAUUUUACAGCAUUCUAUGUUGUAGCCAAACACUUGCUCUGUAUUUUAUAUUAAAACCAUGGUAUUGUGUACCUGCCAACUACGAGUAAAUUAUUGCAGUUUUUAAUACUUUGGUUUUUUGAUACUAUGCUGUUCGAUUUACUUUUAUUUUGUCCCUAAACAUUUUGUUCUACAAUGUGCAGAUGCUGGCAUUUCAUUCAGGACAAAGAAGUUGGAUGAAGCAUAGUUUUACCUCAUUGAGCUAGUUCUGGGAGUAAUGAACUCCUUGUAGCAGAACUUGUACGUGUGCUAGUUCUGGGAGCUGAUCCUAUUUGUGUGUUAUAUGAUGUAGCAGAACUUGUAGGGCUCCUGUGAUAGACUUGGGCUGAUACACUUGGGCUG
rnacentral:lncRNA from 1 species